AGAUUUUGAUCCUAGGAGAAGGUUCAUCAGACUAGGUCUCCAUCUUAGGAGAAAAAUUCGUCAGACUAAGAUUUGGAUCCUAGGAGAAGGUUCAUCAGACUAGGUCUUUUCUUUUGUUUUGUUUUUUUUUCUUCAAAAACAACUUAGGAGGAAAUGCAUCUCCUAUGGGUAAAACUUAACUUUGAGGAAGUGCGUCUCCUAUGGGUACAAUAAACUUAGGAAGUGCGUCUCCUAUUGGGGAUAACUGUUCUUAGGAAGUGCGUCUCCUACUGGGUGAAACUAAACUUUAGGAAGUGCGUCUCCUAUGAUAAACUGAACUUAGGAAGUGCGUUUCCUAUGGUAAAACUGAAUUUUAGGAAGUGCGUCUCCUAUUGGUACAACUAUUCUUAGGAAGUGCAUCUCCUAUUGGUGAAACUUCUUAGGAAGUGCGUCUCCUAUUGGUACAAUGGAUCUAGGAAGUGCGUCUCCUAUUAGUAGAACUUAACUUAGGAAGUGCGUCUCCUAUUGGGUACAAUAAACUUUAGGAAGUGCGUCUCCUAUUGGUAGAACUGAAUUUUAGGAAGUGCGUCUCCUAUGGUAAAACUGAACUUAGGAGGAAAUGCAUCUCCUAUGGGUGAAACUGAAACAAACCUAGGAGGAAAUGCGUCUCCUAUGGGUAAAACUAAACUUAGGAGGAAAUGCAUCUCCUAUGGGUAAAGACGUGGAAUGUAUGCCUCUGUUAUCUGGGCGGGCUCCCAACUUCAAUACUUGAAACGUA
rnacentral:lncRNA from 1 species